rnacentral:tRNA from 1 species
GCCUCUGAUUCCGUAGUUAUAACACUGACUUGUAAUCAGUAGGUCCCGAGUUCGACUCUUGGUGCCGGCACCA